GCUCAGGAUGAACGCUGGCGGCGUGCUUAACACAUGCAAGUCGAACGAUGAAGCUCCAGCUUGCUGGAGUGGAUUAGUGGCGAACGGGUGAGUAACACGUGAGCAACCUGCCCCGGACUUUGGGAUAACAGUUGGAAACAGCUGCUAAUACCGAAUAUGCACCAGAACGGCAUCGUUACUGGUGGGAAAGAUUUUUCGGUCCGGGAGGGGCUCGCGGCCUAUCAGCUUGUUGGUGAGGUAAUGGCUCACCAAGGCGUCGACGGGUAGCCGGCCUGAGAGGGUGACCGGCCACACUGGGACUGAGACACGGCCCAGACUCCUACGGGAGGCAGCAGUGGGGAAUAUUGCACAAUGGGCGCAAGCCUGAUGCAGCAACGCCGCGUGAGGGAUGACGGCCUUCGGGUUGUAAACCUCUUUUAGUUGGGAAGAAGCCUUCGGGUGACGGUACCUUCAGAAAAAGCGCCGGCUAACUACGUGCCAGCAGCCGCGGUAAUACGUAGGGCGCAAGCGUUAUCCGGAAUUAUUGGGCGUAAAGAGCUCGUAGGCGGUUUGUCGCGUCUGCUGUGAAAACUGGAGGCUCAACCUCCAGCCUGCAGUGGGUACGGGCAGACUAGAGUGCGGUAGGGGAGAUUGGAAUUCCUGGUGUAGCGGUGGAAUGCGCAGAUAUCAGGAGGAACACCGAUGGCGAAGGCAGAUCUCUGGGCCGUAACUGACGCUGAGGAGCGAAAGAGUGGGGAGCAAACAGGCUUAGAUACCCUGGUAGUCCACUCCGUAAACGUUGGAACUAGUUGUGGGGGCCUUUCCACGGUCUCCGUGACGCAGCUAACGCAUUAAGUCCCC
rnacentral:rRNA from 1 species